rnacentral:rRNA from 1 species
CCUACGGGUGGCAGCAGUGGGGGAUAUUGCACAAUGGGGGAAACCCUGAUGCAGCGACGCCGCGUGGGGGAAGGAGGGUUUCGGCGCGUAAACUGCUAUUGUCAGCGAAGAAUAUGACGGUAACUUACCAAUAAGCCUCGGCUAACUACGUGCCAGCAGCCGCGGUAAUACGUAGGAGGCGAGCAUUAUCCGGAUUGACUGGGUGUAAAGGGUUGGGUAGGUGGCAUGGUAAGUAGCUAGUGAAAGCUGGUGGCUCAACCAGUCAGACGAUGAGCUAAAGUGCUGGGCUCGAGACCGUUAGGGGUAACGGGAAUUGCUAGUGUAGGGGUGAAAUCCGUAGAGAUUAGAAGGAACACCGAUAGCGUAGGCAGGUUACUGGGACGGGUCGGACACUAAGGCACGAAAGCGUAGGGAGCAAACGGGAUUAGAUACCCGGGUAGUC